rnacentral:lncRNA from 1 species
GGAACAAGUGAUGUUUUCUGAGGCUCCUUAAAGAAUGUAAUAUGAAGGAGGUUCCUUGGGAAACUAGUGCAAAUGACGUGUGCUAAAGGAAUGGAAGUGCAAUGUAGAGAAUGAACUUGCCCAGGAAGAACAAAGGGAACCCAUUAUUCUUCCAGCCUCUCUUGUUCCUCAGUGAAAAGAUUUCAGAAGAUUGUGGCCGAGACAUCAGCCACAGUGCAGAAGAGUCAUCAGAGUUUGGAAAUGCCGUGACAUUUGCAGAUUUUAUCACUAGCUGACAUGUGACGCUGCUCUGUCCUCAGGGUAUGGUCCCUGGGAGGGCAGGGCUAUUGGAGUGAGCAUACCUGGAGGCCCAUUACAAAUGCAGCAUACUGGGAUUUGCUGGCAGCUCUUUGGAACCAGUAAGAGGUCAACAUGUACCGGGCGUCAGAGCUGUGUUCCAAAGGGGAUAGUGGCCACACCCCGUUCCAGACCGGAACUCCUCAAAGCAACAGCUUGUGUGCAGCAAGGAAAGUGGCAUUCUCCUGAUACGAGUCCUGGAAUCACUAGGAAGAACAGUGUGUCGAUUUCUCACACAUGGAUCAAAUCGUUUUUGGUUAAGUGGCUGAGGCUGGCUGCUUCCAUGCCUGUCUCCCAAUUUUCUUCCCUCUGUUUGUGCCUUGUAAACCUGUGUGUCACCAAGCAGCCCUGGUUGCUCAUUUUCAACAGAUCCCACAGGGUCAAAACUACUGGGGUGUGGGGGCCCUUUGGCCUGUGCCUUUGGAGGAGUGGUUUGGGCCCCAGAUUCCAUACAUGGUAAUUCCAUCCACCCCACAGCCAAGGACACAUCAGGAGUGGCAGUUGUUUUUAGUAACAUCUUUCUGACAUGGAAAUGUCAAAGAUGUCACUGACUGACAGUUUAGUUAAGAGUUCACAGAAUAUGUAUUGAACUCAGGCCCUCAGUGCACUGUUUUCUGCUACCAAAGCCC